rnacentral:tRNA from 1 species
GGUGGCUUAGUGGUAGAGUGCUUGCCUAGCAUGCAGGAAGCCCUGGGUUCGAUUCCUCAGUACCA